UAUCAGGAAGGAACAUGAUAUCCAAAAUUGGGCUCAAUUGGCAGUCGGAUGGGCUGAAAUCUUUAAGAGAAGAUUGAGAACACAAGUUGACAGAACUGAUAUGCAGGAACAGAAACUUAGGAAGAAGAUUAAGAAUGGACCCAAGGAAGGUGGAAUCGAACUCACAAGAAGAUGGAUGUUGUUUACGUUGUUAAACAUCCACACACUCGCCUUGUAGCUUGCUGAAACUGAGAACAAGAUGGAGAGAAGAGA